rnacentral:rRNA from 1 species
AGGGAAUCUUGGACAAUGGGCGAAAGCCUGAUCCAGCCAUGCCGCGUGAGUGAUGAAGGCCUUAGGGUUGUAAAGCUCUUUCGCCAGGGAAGAUAAUGACGGUACCUGGAUAAGAAGCCCCGGCUAACUUCGUGCCAGCAGCCGCGGUAAUACGAAGGGGGCUAGCGUUGUUCGGAAUUACUGGGCGUAAAGCGCACGUAGGCGGCUUUCCAAGUUGGAGGUGAAAUCCCCGGGCUUAACCCGGGAACUGCCUCCAAAACUGAAAGGCUAGAGUCCGAGAGAGGUGAGUGGAAUUUCCAGUGUAGAGGUGAAAUUCGUAGAUAUUGGAAAGAACACCAGUGGCGAAGGCGGCUCACUGGCUCGGUACUGUCGCUGAGGUGCGACAGCGUGGGGAGCAAACA